rnacentral:rRNA from 1 species
UAUUGCACAAUGGGCGCAAGCCUGAUGCAGCCAUGCCGCGUGUGUGAAGAAGGCCUUCGGGUAGUAAAGCACUUUCAGUAAGGAGGAAAGGGUAGUCUUUAAUAGAGGUUAUCUGUGACGUUACUUACAGAAGAAGCACCGGCUAACUCCGUGCCAGCAGCCGCGGUAAUACGGAGGGUGCGAGCGUUAAUCGGAAUUACUGGGCGUAAAGCGUACGCAGGCGGUUUGUUAAGCGAGAUGUGAAAGCCCCGGGCUCAACCUGGGAACUGCAUUUCGAACUGGCAAACUAGAGUGUGAUAGAGGGUGGUAGAAUUUCAGGUGUAGCGGUGAAAUGCGUAGAGAUCUGAAGGAAUACCGAUGGCGAAGGCAGCCACCUGGGUCAACACUGACGCUCAUUACGAA